UAUGAUGAGAAUUAAAAUGUUUGCACAGGGUAACUUAGGUCUUCCAGGGCCUCCAGGGCAUUCAGGGCCCAAAGGAGACCUAGAUAUGAGGCAUGUGCUUGGGGAGAAAGGCCAGAAAGGAAACUGUGGUGCAGAAGGACCACUGGGGAUAAAUGGGCAAGAUGGCAGGCCAGGCACCCCUGGCUUCAAAGGACCACCAGGAGCAAAAGGAAAUCUAGUUAGUACCUAUAACUUGUAACCAUAACCUUUGAGAAAACUUCAAAAACCUUUGCUUAAAUUUGUGUAACCAACUUUAAAGCCACAAGUUUUGAUGUUGACAGAACUUGAAACUGACUUAUUUUCCAGAGUCCUACAGGCCCUAAGGGCAACCAAGGAGAUCCAGGGAUUUGUGGGGAACGUGGCCGCCCAGGUCCAAUGGGCAGCCAAGGGUCAAUGGGUGUUGGGCGACCAGGGGCACCUGGAGAGAAAGGAAGUAUGGGAGUAGUUGGCCGGCAAGGAAAUCCUGGAGAACCAGGUGAGGAAGGAUCUCCAGGUCUAGUACAAAUGACACCAGGAGACCCAGGUGAGCCUGGACUGCCUGGUCCACCUGGUCAACAAGGACCUCCAGGUAAUGAUGGUUGUGGAGGACUUCAAGGAUUACCAGGAUUCAGUGGGUUAAAAGGAGUGAAAGGACCAUCAAUGCCAGGAGCUCCAGGAUUUACUGGUCCCAAAGGUGGGUAAUGUAAACCAAUGCAAUAAGCCUUCUUAAAAAUAAGGUUAUUUC
rnacentral:lncRNA from 1 species